rnacentral:rRNA from 1 species
UACCAGCACCCGAGUGGUCGGGACGUUUAUUGGGCCUAAAGCAUCCGUAGCCGGUUCUACAAGUCUUCCGUUAAAUCCAACUGCUUAACAGGUGGGCUGCGGAAGAUACUAUAGAGCUAGGAGGCGGGAGAGGCAAGCGGUACUCGAUGGGUAGGGGUAAAAUCCGUUGAUCCAUUGAAGACCACCAGUGGCGAAGGCGGCUUGCCAGAACGCGCUCGACGGUGAGGGAUGAAAGCUGGGGGAGCAAACCGGG